rnacentral:rRNA from 1 species
UUGACGGGACCCGCACAAGCGGUGGAUGAUGUGGUUUAAUUCGAUGCAACGCGAAAACCUUACCCACCUUUGACAUGUACGGAACCCUUUAGAGAUAGAGGGGUGCUCGAAAGAGAGCCGUAACACAGGUGCUGCAUGGCUGUCGUCAGCUCGUGUCGUGAGAUGUUGGGUUAAGUCCCGCAACGAGCGCGACCCUUGUCAUUAGUUGCUACAUUCAGUUGGGCACUCUAAUGAGACUGCCGGUGACAAGCCGGAGGAAGGUGGGGAUGACGUCAAGUCCUCAUGGCCCUUAUAGGUGGGGCUACACACGUCAUACAAUGGCUGGUACAAAGGGUUGCCAACCCGCGAGGGGGAGCCAAUCCCAUAAAGCCAGUCGUAGUCCGGAUCGUAGUCUGCAACUCGACUACGUGAAGUCGGAAUCGCUAGUAAUCGUGGAUCAGAAUGUCACGGUGAAUACGUUCCCGGGCCUU